rnacentral:rRNA from 1 species
GCGAACGGACGAGAAGCUUGCUUCUCUGAUGUUAGCGGCGGACGGGUGAGUAACACGUGGAUAACCUACCUAUAAGACUGGGAUAACUUCGGGAAACCGGAGCUAAUACCGGAUAAUAUUUUGAACCGCAUGGUUCAAAAGUGAAAGACGGUCUUGCUGUCACUUAUAGAUGGAUCCGCGCUGCAUUAGCUAGUUGGUAAGGUAACGGCUUACCAAGGCAACGAUGCAUAGCCGACCUGAGAGGGUGAUCGGCCACACUGGAACUGAGACACGGUCCAGACUCCUACGGGAGGCAGCAGUAGGGAAUCUUCCGCAAUGGGCGAAAGCCUGACGGAGCAACGCCGCGUGAGUGAUGAAGGUCUUCGGAUCGUAAAACUCUGUUAUUAGGGAAGAACAUAUGUGUAAGUAACUGUGCACACCUUGACGGUACCUAAUCAGAAAGCCACGGCUAACUACGUGCCAGCAGCCGCGGUAAUACGUAGGUGGCAAGCGUUAUCCGGAAUUAUUGGGCGUAAAGCGCGCGUAGGCGGUUUUUUAAGUCUGAUGUGAAAGCCCACGGCUCAACCGUGGAGGGUCAUUGGAAACUGGAAAACUUGAGUGCAGAAGAGGAAAGUGGAAUUCCAUGUGUAGCGGUGAAAUGCGCAGAGAUAUGGAGGAACACCAGUGGCGAAGGCGACUUUCUGGUCUGUAACUGACGCUGAUGUGCGAAAGCGUGGGGAUCAAACAGGA